rnacentral:rRNA from 1 species
UUAGGAAUCUUGGGCAAUGGGCGAAAGCCUGACCCAGCCAUGCCGCGUGAAUGAUGAAGGUCCUAGGAUUGUAAAAUUCUUUCACCGGGGAAGAUAAUGACGGUACCCGGAGAAGAAGCUCCGGCUAACUUCGUGCCAGCAGCCGCGGUAAUACGAAGGGGGCUAGCGUUGCUCGGAAUUACUGGGCGUAAAGGGCGCGUAGGCGGACGAUUAAGUUGGGGGUGAAAUCCCAGGGCUCAACCCUGGAACUGCCUCCAAAACUGGUCGUCUUGAGUAUGGGAGAGGUGUGUGGAACUCCGAGUGUAGAGGUGAAAUUCGUAGAUAUUCGGAAGAACACCAGUGGCGAAGGCGACACACUGGCCCAUUACUGACGCUGAGGCGCGAAAGCGUGGGGAGCAAA